rnacentral:rRNA from 1 species
AUUGAACGCUGGCGGCAGGCCUAACACAUGCAAGUCGAGCGGAUGAAGGGAGCUUGCUCCUGGAUUCAGCGGCGGACGGGUGAGUAAUGCCUAGGAAUCUGCCUGGUAGUGGGGGAUAACGUCCGGAAACGGGCGCUAAUACCGCAUACGUCCUGAGGGAGAAAGUGGGGGAUCUUCGGACCUCACGCUAUCAUAUGAGCCUAGGUCGGAUUAGCUAGUUGGUGGGGUAAAGGCCUACCAAGGCGACGAUCCGUAACUGGUCUGAGAGGAUGAUCAGUCACACUGGAACUGAGACACGGUCCAGACUCCUACGGGAGGCAGCAGUGGGGAAUAUUGGACAAUGGGCGAAAGCCUGAUCCAGCCAUGCCGCGUGUGUGAAGAAGGUCUUCGGACUGUAAAGCACUUUAAGUUGGGAGGAAGGGCAGUAAGUUAAUACCUUGCUGUUUUGACGUUACCAACAGAAUAAGCACCGGCUAACUUCGUG